rnacentral:lncRNA from 1 species
GUGUUUAUGAACAUUUGAUUCAGCUGACAGAAGGUGGAACCAGUAGAGCUCAGAGGAAGGCAAAUGCUCUUUUGCAGCUUGUUACCAAGUCUGAACACUUGUAAUAAUUAAUUAGUUUCAAGUUGGUACGUAAAACUUUCUUUUAUUCUUAAGUUAAAUUAAAUUAGUCUCUUUGUUUCCACGUUAACAAGUUUAUAAUGGUGGGUUAUAACAGUAAUUUAACCCCACAUCACCAAGUUGACUCUCGCUUUCUAAGACAGUGCUAGAGGAAGGAGAAAUUUAAAAAUAAGUAUGGCUGUCUGUAAGAACUAAGAAGAAUAUACAUUACCUCUCCAAUAAACUAAAUCCCAACCAAAGUGCAAAAAAAUAAAAACCCAAUUAAUUAACAGUUCACAGUUCUUUUCCUUUAAUUUCUUUCGGAUGCAAGUGAUUUGCAAAUUUUAUUAUUUAGACUCUAUUUAAUAUUAAGGUUGAGUAAUUGUAGUUUAAAAACUACAAUCCUAAAAUAUUUAGUAAACUUGUCAUUCUAAAACUAAAUUGAUUUGAUGAUGAAAAAUAUAUAAUAUUUUUAUUAUUUUUAUCAUACUAUAAAUUUUUAUUUUAUUUUUAUAGCUAUAAUUAUAAUUUUUUUAUAAUAAUUAUAAAUUUUAAAUUACAAUACCUCGAUACUAAGAAAUAUCUGAGAAAGAGGCGAAUGUCUGUCCGGGAUGCGAACAGAGUUUUCAAUGGGAGAGAAACCAUGCUACUAUAUGUGACGCACUUGAGAAUGGGCAGUUCGCAGUUGAUCGUGGAAAAGAAAGAAUGCUACCAAAAUGUACCAGUACACCAUCAUCAAGGCUCAGCUGGGCUAGGCUGGGCUACGCUGAUAUGCACGAACAUUUGUCUUUCUGGUUUUUUUCUCUCCAAUCCAAGCUCUCUGACUCAGAAUCAUUACCAUACCCAUCAUCAUCAUCACAGAUAUUAAACAAUACUUAUUUCUUAUUGUAUUUUAAUUUUUAUCUUAGUAAAAUACAGAAUGAACAGAUGGUUAAUGAAUGAAAAUCAACUGGUCCUUAUCCACCUCAACACUAUUCUCCACAACCGGCGCCACCUUAGCACCAACUCUUCCACCAACAGCGGCAACAACAAAACAUACCUCAAAUCUUAUACUACUUGUUCGUUAUGUUUUACAAAGAUAAAAAGUUAAAAAUUAUUAAAAAUAAAUGUUAUUCGGUAUCUACGAUUGAAAUUCAAAAAAGGGUUCAAUCUAAAACAAUUAAAUCGUACGUCUGAGGUACUUAAAAAAUCCUCAAAUAAUGGAAACUUACUGCUGAGUAUCUAACGUCUGGGAUUGAGACGUUGAACGAAAUAAAAAAAAACAAAGCGGCUGUUUUGUUCAAGCAGAAGCAGCAUCUCAGAAAAGAACGAGAACACUGAAUGAGGAUGACAGUAAAGCUAGCCGCACCCCGCAAUUCCCUGCUACUUAAACUGAGCAAUGAAAGAUGACGUCAUAAGAACAAAAGCAGAUUUUGUCAUGACUCGGCGGCUGUCGGAAUUAAUUGUCUUUGUGGAACAACGCCAAGGCACGA